rnacentral:rRNA from 1 species
AUGAACGCUGGCGGCGUGCCCAAUACAUGCAAGUCGAGCGAACAGACGAGGAGCUUGCUCCUCUGACGUUAGCGGCGGACGGGUGAGUAACACGUGGAUAACCUACCUAUAAGACUGGGAUAACUUCGGGAAACCGGAGCUAAUACCGGAUAAUAUAUUGAACCGCAUGGUUCAAUAGUGAAAGACGGUUUUGCUGUCACUUAUAGAUGGAUCCGCGCCGCAUUAGCUAGUUGGUAAGGUAACGGCUUACCAGGGCAACGAUGCGUAGCCGACCUGAGAGGGUGAUCGGCCACACUGGAACUGAGACACGGUCCAGACUCCUACGGGAGGCAGCAGUAGGGAAUCUUCCGCAAUGGGCGAAAGCCUGACGGAGCAACGCCGCGUGAGUGAUGAAGGUCUUCGGAUCGCAAAACUCUGUUAUUAGGGAAGAACAAAUGUGUAAGUAACUAUGCACGUCUUGACGGUACCUAAUCAGAAAGCCACGGCUAACUACGUG